AUUGAACGCUGGCGGCAGGCUUAACACAUGCAAGUCGGGCGGGGUGAUGGUGCUUGCACUAUCACUUAGCGGCGGACGGGUGAGUAAUGCUUAGGAAUCUGCCUAUUAGUGGGGGACAACAUCUCGAAAGGGAUGCUAAUACCGCAUACGUCCUACGGGAGAAAGCAGGGGAUCACUUGUGACCUUGCGCUACUAGAUGAGCCUAAGUCGGAUUAGCUAGUUGGUGGGGUAAAGGCCUACCAAGGCGACGAUCUGUAGCGGGUCUGAGAGGAUGAUCCGCCACACUGGGACUGAGACACGGCCCAGACUCCUACGGGAGGCAGCAGUGGGGAAUAUUGGACAAUGGGGGGAACCCUGAUCCAGCCAUGCCGCGUGUGUGAAGAAGGCCUUGUGGUUGUAAAGCACUUUAAGCGAGGAGGAGGCUCUUUUGGUUAAUACCCAAGAUGAGUGGACGUUACUCGCAGAAUAAGCACCGGCUAACUCUGUGCCAGCCGCCGCCGUAA
rnacentral:rRNA from 1 species